rnacentral:rRNA from 1 species
GAUGAACGCUAGCGGCAGGCCUAACACAUGCAAGUCGAGGGGCAGCACAGAAACAGCAAUGUUUUGGUGGCGACCGGCGGACGGGUGCGUAACGCGUAUGCAACCUACCUUUAACAGGGGGAUAACGGAGAGAAAUUUCCACUAAUACCCCAUAACAUCGAUCAAGGCAUCUUGAUUGGUUGAAAACUCCGGUGGUUAAAGAUGGGCAUGCGUUGUAUUAGGUAGGUGGUGAGGUAAUGGCUCACCAAGCCUACGAUACAUAGGGGGACUGAGAGGUCAGCCCCCCACACUGGUACUGAGACACGGACCAGACUCCUACGGGAGACAGCAGUGAGAAAUAUUGGUCAAUGGUGGCAACCCUGAACCAGCCAUGCCGCGUGCAGUAAGACGGCUCUAUGAGUUGUAAACUGCUUUUAAACAGGGAUAAAGCACAGUAUGUAUACUGUGUUGAAGGUACUGUAAGAAUAAGGAUCGGCUAACUCCGUGCCAGCCGCCGCGGUAA